rnacentral:rRNA from 1 species
UGAGGAAUAUUGGUCAAUGGGCGAGAGCCUGAACCAGCCAAGUAGCGUGCGGGAUGAAGGCCCUUGUGGUCGUAAACCGCUUUUAUCAGUGAAUAAAGUGCACCACGUGUGGUGUCAUUGCAGGUAGCUGAAGAAAAAGGACCGGCUAAUUCCGUGCCAGCAGCCGCGGUAAUACGGAAGGUCCGGGCGUUAUCCGGAAUUAUUGGGUUUAAAGGGAGCGCAGGCGGGAGUAUAAGUCAGCUGUUAAAUAUCAGAGCCCAACUCUGUUAUGCAGUUGAAACUAUAUUUCUUGAGUACGCACAGGGAUGGUGGAAUUCAGGGUGUAGCGGUGAAAUGCUUAGAUAUCCUGAAGAACUCCGAUCGCGAAGGCAGCCAUCCGGAGCGUAACUGACGCUGAGGCUCGAAGGUGCGGGUAUCGAACAGGAUUAGAUACCCUGGUAGUCCGCACGGUAAACGAUGAAUACUCGCAGUUCGGCCGUUUAGGUCGAGUUGUCCAGCGAAAGCGUUAAGUAUUCCACCUGGGGAGUACGCCGGCAACGGUG